rnacentral:rRNA from 1 species
AUCUUCCGCAAUGGACGAAAGUCUGACGGAGCAACGCCGCGUGAGUGAUGAAGGCUUUCGGGUCGUAGAACUCUGUUGUUAGGGAAGAACAAGUGCUAGUUGAAUAAGCUGGCACCUUGACGGUACCUAACCAGAAAGCCACGGCUAACCACGUGCCAGCCGCCGCGGCACUACGUAGGUGGCAAGCGUUAUCCGGAACUAUUGGGCGUAAAGCGCGCGCAGGUGGUUUCUUAAGGCUGAUGUGAAAGCCCACGGCUCAACCGUGGAGGGUCAGUGGAAACUGGGAGACUUGAGUGCAGAAGAGGAAAGUGGAAUUCCAUGUGUAGCGGUGAAAUGCGUAGAGAUAUGGAGGAACACCAGUGGCGAAGGCGACUUUCUGGUCUGUAACUGACACUGAGGCGCGAAAGCGUGGGGAGCAAACAG